AAGGAAGAAACCAAAGGAAUUUGGGAAGGAACACUGACAGCUGUCCUACAUACACAAGUCCAGCACAAACUUCUACCUGCUCCAGAAGACGCCAAAUGAUGUAUGCUCAUUGAAGGCUCAGCGGGGAAAGGGAAAAUAAUGAAACAGAGAAACAGUGCCACCCACUGGCUGCUAAGCGAUUUUAACUGCUAUGCCUCAGGCAUCCAAUACAAUGGAUCUGUCAGACGGACAAAGCAAAGAACACUACUUCAAGAGCAACUUAAAAAGACUUUAGUGAUAAGUUUUUUGAGUUUUUAUUCUUUUUCUAAGCCCCUUUUCUUAGGACUGUGUACACUGUGCUAUACUAACAUUCUCCCUGGAGCACCUGGGUGGCUCUGUUAAACGGCUGACUCUUGGGUUAUGGCUCAUGUCAUCUCACAGUUUGUGACUUCAAGCCAAGCAUUGGGCUCUGCACCAACAGUGCAUGGCCUACUUGGGA